rnacentral:misc_RNA from 1 species
GAAAUACAUAUCAAGACCAGAACAUGUCCAGCCUAAAGAAAGUUAGAACCAAACAGUUCAAACAACACAGCCCAAGCCCAGCAACCUAGUCUAAUCUUCAAAGACAAAGCCUAGCCCAUAAAGAAAUCCUAGGUAGCAGCAGCUAGAAGAUGUGCCUUUCCCAGUUCAAUGCCACCGCAUCAUUCGCCUCGCAAGCCAAACUGCUGGACCAUACAAAGAGUCAUGGAAGCAUCAUUUCAGCAUCAAAAUGGCAUAGGGUCACGCCGGGCUCUUUGACAUCUCAUUCGCGCCUUCUGGGUCGAUCCUUUUGAUUCGCACCCCACGAGCUACCAACACUAGAUGCAGCGGAUCCACAAGCCAUGCAAGAAAAAGUAAAGCUCACGCCUACUUGAUGCUUCAUCCCAUCAUCUCCUAGACAGUGUACCGAGAAAUGUGCAGGUAGACCUGGGAUGCUUCACAUUGGCACCAAGGCAAGCAGAGCACAUCGGCGAUAGGGCUCUUCAGCGUCCCACUCGCGCCUUCUGGACCAAUUCCUCAGAUUGCAUCCCACGAGCAAACCAUCAAACGCCUGUAACUCGUAUUAUUAGAACCAAGGAGGAGCACACCGACACUUCAACCUUCCACACCCACACUAAAGAAACCACAAAACCUCUAGGAAUCACACAUGUAGCCAUCAACAAGGCUACAAAGGCCCGCACAGACACCCCUCAUCGUUUAAGCACCAGACCUUCAAAAGCCAAAAAACCCAUAUCUACAAAGCCACCAUCCAACGCUAGGGAGGGGCAUACCCACUGUCAAGCAGAGGGGAUGUGGCCCCCUGCCCUUGAAGGGCAGAGGAGGCUGCUAGAUCGACAGGAAGAAGGUCGAAAACUCUAACUCAAGAAAUCCAACGAACCAGAAAAAAG